rnacentral:rRNA from 1 species
UGGGGAAUAUUGGGCAAUGGGCGCAAGCCUGACCCAGCAACGCCGCGUGAAGGAAGAAGGCUUUCGGGUUGUAAACUUCUUUCUGAGGGACGAUAGUGACGGUACCUCAGGAAUAAGCCACGGCUAACUACGUGCCAGCAGCCGCGGUAAUACGUAGGUGGCAAGUGUUAUCCGGAUUUACUGGUGUAAAGGGCGUGUAGGCGGGACUGCAAGUCAGAUGUGAAAACCAUGGGCUCAACUCAUGGCCUGCAUUUGAAACUGUAGUUCUUGAGUGUUGGAGAGGCAGGCGGAAUUCCGUGUGUAGCGGUGAAAUGCGUAGAUAUACGGAGGAACACCAGUGGCAAGGCGGCCUGCUGGACAAUAACUGACGCUGAGGCGCGAAAGCGUGGGGAGCAAACAGGAUUAGAUACCC